UUGGCUCAGGAUGAACGCUGGCGGCGUGCUUAACACAUGCAAGUCGAACGGACUUUACUUAGCUUGCUUUGUAAAGUUAGUGGCGGACGGGUGAGUAACGCGUGGGUAACCUGCCUCACACAGGGGGAUAGCAGUUGGAAACGACUGAUAAUACCGCAUAAGCGCACAGUAUCGCAUGGUACAGUGUGAAAAACUCCGGUGGUGUGAGAUGGACCCGCGUCUGAUUAGCUUGUUGGUGAGGUAACGGCCCACCAAGGCAACGAUCAGUAGCCGGCCUGAGAGGGUGAACGGCCACAUUGGGACUGAGACACGGCCCAAACUCCUACGGGAGGCAGCAGUGGGGAAUA
rnacentral:rRNA from 1 species